rnacentral:rRNA from 1 species
UACGGAGGAUCCAAGCGUUAUCCGGAUUUAUUGGGUUUAAAGGGUGCAUAGGCGGAUUGAUAAGUUAGAGGUGAAAUGUCCGAGCUUAACUCGGGAACUGCCUCUAAUACUGUUGAUCUAGAGAGUAGAUGCGGUAGGCGGAAUGCGUGGUGUAGCGGUGAAAUGCAUAGAUAUCACGCAGAACUCCGAUUGCGAAGGCAGCAUACCGGCGCCCUACUGACGCUGAGGCACGAAAGCGUGGGUAUCGAACAGG